AUCUAUGGCCACACUACUCUGAAUGAUCUGGUCUUGUCUGAUCUUGGAAGUUGGGCAGGGUGGGGCCUGCCUCGCUAAGUACUGGAAUGUCUGGGGAUACUAGGUGCUGUUGAGU
rnacentral:rRNA from 1 species